rnacentral:sRNA from 1 species
AUUAUCAAUGUGACUCCACGGGGGAGUCCAUGGUGAUGAUGAUGAGGAGGAGGAUGAUGAUGAUGAGACACCUCUAAACUUGGAACAAGUUUAAGACUAUGAGAGAAGAAAAAAAAUCACCAACAAGAUUUGUUUGAGGAAAAAUUAUAACUAUCCUGUGUUGAUUUUUUUUUUAUAAACAAUAAGAAAAAGUUGUUGGAUUUUUUUUUAAUGAUUUCUUUUUUGGGGGAGGGAAUUUUGUUGCAGUUUUAUGGUGGAAAAUGCAAAAACCAGAGCCAGGUGCAUAAUCUUGUAAUCUGUGGAUAUCCCUGGAGCAGGACUGAGUACCAGUUAAAAUACUUUUUGGGGAUACACAUGUGAGAUACUAAGUACUUGCAGAAGAUUUUUGUCUCUUUUUAAAGUCUCUUUCCUUGGAAUAUUGUGAGAAUAUUUGUGGCCAUUUAAGGUUUGUGUGAUUUUGCUAAAAUGCAUCACCAACAGCGAAUGGCUGCCUUAGGGACGGACAAAGAGCUGAGUGAUUUACUGGAUUUCAGUGCGAUGUUUUCACCUCCUGUGAGCAGUGGGAAAAAUGGACCAACUUCUUUGGCAAGUGGACAUUUUACUGGCUCAAGCUUUUGAGGAGGAGGAGAUAUUCUGAAGCAUAUUUGAAAUAAAUUGAGGAACGUAACUUGGCAAAUAUGAGGUGCAGGAAUAAUCCAUGUGCAGGAGAGACGGUGAAAGAUUACUCAGAGGUACAGAGCCAUGGAGAAUCAGAAGGAACACUGGAAGUUUCUCAUGGAGAUGGAAACCUGAGAACUUGACUGUGCUUGGGACAGGUUGGAGGAGUCCUGGGUGGUGCUGAAGAGGCUCGGUUCCAGAGUCAGGCCGUCGAGUUUGAAGGCUGGCUCUGCCAUUCGCUAACGUUGUGACCUUGGAAAAGCUUACCUACCUCUCUGAGUCUCAGUUUGCUCAUCUGUAAAAUGGCAAGAGUGUCCACUUCAUGGAUUUGUGAGGAGUAAAUAAGCUAGUCCGUGUAAAGAGCUGACUGCAGUGAUGCAUACAGAAAGCACCGGAAGUAUUAGCUGUGAUUGAUGGUAGGAGCCACAGCAUGCAGCAGGAGAAUGAUUUUUGAGGUGUUUGAAGAAUAAUAUGUAAAGAGGGCUGGAUGGUGUGACUCACGCCUGUAAUCCCAGCACUUUGGGAGGCGGAGGUGGGCGGAUCACUUGAGGCCAGGAGUUGGAGACCAGUCUGGACAACAUGGCGAAAAUGCCACCUCUACUAAAAGUAGAAAAAUUAGCCGGGCUUGGUGCUGGGUGCUUGUAAUCCCAGCUACUCGGGAGGCUGAGGCAGGAGAAUUGCUUGAACCCAGGAGAUGGAGGUUGCAGUGAGCCAAGAUCGCGCCACUGCACUCCAGCCUGAGCUACAGAGUGAGACUUCGUCUCAUAGAAAAAAAAAAAAAGAAUAACAUGAGGAUGUGUUUGGUGUUGGCAUUUUGGUCACAUUGAAGCAGGGAGGGAAUGGACAUUUCUUUCAGAACCAUGCAGCCCUAAACGUUAAACAGAGAGGUUUUUGGGGAUAAGUGUAAUGAUUUUGAUGUGGAUAUUUUAGAAGGUUGGGCAUAACAGCCGAUUCAAUCCUUUUUUAUCACCAUCGAUGAAAAGGGCUACAUAAAGAUUUAAGAAGAGGAGGACAUUCUUUUCUCCACAGCUGGUCAUGCGCCCAGUGUAGUUGGCAGGAAAACGGAUUGUUUGGAAUGUGUCCCUAAAAUCCUGUAAUUUAAUUUUCAUUAUUUAUAUAACGCAGUCCGUAUAUGUGGCGCUGUACUACAUGCACACAAGACCAAAUUUCUGGCCAGUGUAAUUUUACCAAAGAAGAGACUGUAACUGAAAUAUUUGUACCUACUAAACUAACUGCAGCUUGGUAACUCACCGUUAGGGAGUCCCUGUGAUCCCAAUCAGCAACAGAGGUUGGAGGAACGCAUUGUUGGCAGUGAAAUAAGGGGUCAGGAACUAGAAUAAAUAGUGCUGGGAUGGUAAACGGGCCCAUGUUAUACUAAGUGUAAUAUAAAGUCACUGACUUUGAGGAGUCCAGAAAAACAAGUUUGUAAAUACUGACAUUAAAGUAGCAACCAGUUUUCAUGCUACU